rnacentral:misc_RNA from 1 species
GAUGAAGAACGCAGCGAAAUGCGAUACGUAAUGUAAAUUGCAGAAUUCAGUGAAUCAUCGAAUCUUUGAACGCACAUUGCGCCUGCCAGCACUCUGGCAGGCAUGCCUGUUCGAGCGUCAUUUCAACCAUCAAGCCCUAGGCUUGCGUUGGAGCCCUGCGGCUGCCGCAGGCCCCUAAAAGCAGUGGCGGGCUCGCUAUCACACCGAGUGCAGUAGAUUACUCUUCGCUCAGGGCGUGUGGCGGGUUCCAGCCGUGAAACCCCCUACUUCUCAAGGUUGACCUCGGAUCAGGUAGGAAUACCCGCUGAACUUAAGCAUAUCAAUAAGCGGAGGA